AACGAACGCUGGCGGCAUGCCUAACACAUGCAAGUCGAACGAAGUCUUCGGACUUAGUGGCGCACGGGUGAGUAACGCGUGGGAACCUGCCCUUCGGUACGGAAUAACGUCGGGAAACUGACGCUAAUACCGUAUAUGUCUCUGGAUGAAAGAUUUAUCGCCGGAGGAGGGGCCCGCGUCUGAUUAGCUAGUUGGUGAGGUAAUGGCUCACCAAGGCGACGAUCAGUAGCUGGUCUGAGAGGAUGAUCAGCCACACUGGGACUGAGACACGGCCCAGACUCCUACGGGAGGCAGCAGUGGGGAAUAUUGGACAAUGGGGGCAACCCUGAUCCAGCAAUGCCGCGUGAGUGAUGAAGGCCUUCGGGUUGUAAAGCUCUUUUGGCAGGGACGAUGAUGACGGUACCUGCAGAAUAAGCCCCGGCUAACUUCGUGCCAGCAGCCGCCGUAACAC
rnacentral:rRNA from 1 species